UAAGACGAAGGUGGCGAGCGUUAUUCGGUGUCACUGGGCUUAAAGCGUGUGUAGGCGGAAAAGUAAGCGUCUUGUGAAAUCCCUCGGCUUAACCGAGGAAUUGCUUGGCGAACUACUUUUCUUGAGACAAGUAGGGGUACAUGGAACUCUUAGUGGAGCGGUGGAAUGCGUAGAUAUUAAGAGGAACGCCAAUGGAGAAAUCAGUGUACUGGGCUUGUUCUGACGCUGAGACACGAAAGCGUGGGUAGCGAACGGGAUUAGAUACCCCGGUAGUCCACGCCGUAAACGAUGUCUACUAGGUAGUGGGGGUUCUGACACUCGCACUGCCGAAGCAAAAGUGAUAAGUAGACCGCCUGGGGAGUACGGUCGCAAGGCUA
rnacentral:rRNA from 1 species